rnacentral:rRNA from 1 species
UACAGAGGGUGCGAGCGUUAAUCGGAAUUACUGGGCGUAAAGCGCACGUAGGUGGCGACGUAAGUCGGGUGUGAAAGCCCCGGGCUCAACCUGGGAAUUGCAUUCGAGACUGUAUUGCUGGAGUACGGAAGAGGAGGGCGGAAUUCCCGGUGUAGCGGUGAAAUGCGUAGAUAUCGGGAGGAACAUCAGUGGCGAAGGCGGCCCUCUGGUCCAGUACUGACACUCAAGUGCGAAAAGCGUGGGGAGCAAACAGG